rnacentral:lncRNA from 1 species
AAUACAGACAUAAGCCACCGCACCCAGCUUUGAAUUGUAAUCCUCAGGUGUUGAGGAAGGAACCUGGUGAGAGGUAAUUGAAACAUGGAGGUGGUUUCCCGCGUGCUAUUCUCGUGAUAGUGAGUGAGUUUCACGAGAUCUGAUGGUUUUAUAAGUGUUUCUUUGGUAGUUCCUCUCCUGCUUGUUGUGGUCUCUCUAGUGCUGUUUUAUGAAGAAGGUGCUUGCUGCUUCUUCCGCCGUGAUUAUAAAUUUCCUGAGGCCUCCUCAGCCAUGAGAACUACUUGUUGAGGCAUAAACGUACCUUUUAUUGCCCGGAAUAUCGUCUAUCUUG